rnacentral:misc_RNA from 1 species
GAUGAAGAACGUAGCGAAAUGCGAUACGUAAUGUGAAUUGCAGAAUUCAGUGAAUCAUCGAAUCUUUGAACGCAUAUUGCGCUCUUUGGUAUUCCGAAGAGCAUGCUUGUUUGAGUAUCAGUAAACACCUCAAAGACUUCAAUUUGUUUUGAAUGGCUUUGGACUUGAGCAAUCCCAACACCAGUCUUUACGAUCGGUGGAGGGUUGCUUGAAAUGCAGGUGCAGCUGGACAUUCUCCUGAGCUAAAAGCAUAUUUAUUUAGUCCCGUCAAACGGAUUAUUACUGUUGCUGCAGCUAACAUAAAGGGAGUUUGACCGUAUUGGCUGACUGAUGCAGGAUUUCACAAGGGUCGGCAACGAUUCUUGUAAAACUCGAUCUCAAAUCAAGUAAGACUACCCGCUGAACUUAAGCAUAUCAAUAAGCGGAGGA